rnacentral:rRNA from 1 species
AGGACGAACGCUGGCGGCGUGCUUAACACAUGCAAGUCGAGCGGAAAGGCCCUUCGGGGUACUCGAGCGGCGAACGGGUGAGUAACACGUGAGUAAUCUGCCCCUAUGCUCUGGGAUAGCUCCGGGAAACCGGGAUUAAUACCAGAUACGACCACUUUAGACAUCUGUUGUGGUGGAAAGAAUUUUGGCUAGGGAUGAGCUCGCGGCCUAUCAGCUUGUUGGUGAGGUAACGGCUCACCAAGGCGACGACGGGUAGCCGGCCUGAGAGGGCGACCGGCCACACUGGGACUGAGACACGGCCCAGACUCCUACGGGAGGCAGCAGUGGGGAAUCUUGCGCAAUGGGCGAAAGCCUGACGCGGCAACGCCGCGUGGAGGACGAAGGCUUUCUGAGUUGUAAACUCCUUUCAGCAGGGACGAUAGUGACGGUACCUGCAGAAGAAGCACCGGCCAACUACGUGCCAGCAGCCGCGGUAA